UUUCGCUGUUUUACUUGUUAUUGGGGGUGAUUAAUGCCCUACCGAAACAGAAAUAAAUUUGAAUCAGAUGGAGAAAUGUGUUCAUUUGACAGCAACAAGAAGAAUGGGAUGGCUUUAAAAGGGAAUUAUGGGAAAUGAUGGUGAGCGUGGUGAAAGAAUGCUUAGCUUUAUAAAAUGUUAUUGUAAUUUCUGUUUUAUACAGUCCUUGAAGGAUAUUCAACUUGGAAGAGAGAAAGUAAGAGAUUUUGUAUUUAAAAGAAGGCACUGCCAAUGUGUGUACGGAAUAUUUUUUAAAGAUUAGUAUAUUUGUACAUAUUUCUUUUUAGAAUUUAUUCUUCAAGAAUUUUUAUAUGUAUAGAAAGAGAUAUGAUCAUUGCAUCAUGCAACGAUCCACCUCAUCCUCUUUCUCCUCCUCCUCCAUUAUAGACCAACAAAUCCAUCCAUUAUGGCCUAACAAGCCCAAUUACUGAUGCUCAUAUGUAGGUGGAUGUGGGACCAUCUUUUGUGGUAUAGGAAACCAACCAGUGGCCAAACCCCUAAGUAAAAAUGAUUCUUCUCACCCCAGCAACUAUCAACUGUCCAUAAAACCUCAGGAGUGGGAGCUUAUAAGGUUCAACUCCAUCCAUACUGCAAUUGCUAUUGACUUGAUAGUCCAUGAGUCCCACAAUCAUGACAUGCUCAGAAAACAGUGUCUCACAACUUCUUCCCCCAUUCCUCUGGUUUUUACAUUCUUUCUGUCUGCCUCUUCCAUGACGUUCCUUGUUACAUGAGCCUUGACAGAGGUGAGGGUAUGACAUGUACUAUUUAGGGUUGAACACUAAUAGUUGCUUAUUCUUAGCAUGUUGGCCAGUUAUGAGUCUCUGUGUUGGCAAAUGAAUCAAAGAUGGAAAGAAAGAGUAUCUAAUAACCCAAGAUCGCUUUAGACCUUAGAAGAAACAUGGAGCCUGUGGGUAAGACUGGAAAACUGCUCUCUCACAAUUUGGUUAUUUCGCUUUUUGUGCUGCCUUGCUUAUUUUCUCCUUUUAUUGAAGUUGCAUUAUCUUUGUUCAUCUACCCAGUGCCUCCCACAAAGGCAUGAGAAAUCUUCACUGUGCUGCUAUAAUAGCUCAUCUUUGUUUCCGCUAGUGCGUGUCCAACUCAGGUCUUGAAAAUUCCAAAAUGUAAAGCACUUUUGACAAAUUUAGGUUCAUGGAAAAUAAUUUAAAACUCACAGCAGUCCCUGGGGGGUGGGGGAUGGUAGCUUGUGCUGGCAGAGAGCAUAUGAGAGAAACUGGGGCUCGAUGAUACAGUUGCCUGGGGACAGUGACUUGAAUUGAGCCAAAGCUCCGAAUUUGUUUGCCUGCAUUGCUCAUUCUUGUUGAGCCCCACCCUGUUCUUAUACCUGUAUUUUCAUCUAAACGUGUGUAGAGUCCUACCCACAAGAAACAAGUGAGUGUAUAUUUCAUUGUGAAGUGACAUUUUAUGAACCCGGCUUGCCCUUGUCCUCACACAUGCCCAUUUCAAAACAAUGAGGGCCUCUUUUGACAACCAGUAUAUAAAAUUAACUUUAAUUCAUUCUCCUCUACUAUCACGAUCAUGACAAUGAAAAGGCCAAAUGGCCUUUGAGGUCCUUCAGCUCUUCUUUAUUAUAUUAUGACGCUUUGAUCCACACUACUGGAGUUUGACCUUUGAAUUUGAUGAAGAUGCAUCUGAAAGGUAAGAGCAGGCAUGAACUUUGGAACCCCUUUGUUUGAAAGACAUAAAUAUGGACAUGAGUUUUGAUAUUGCCUGCCAUAAUUGUGGCUUGAUUUUUUUUUAAAUCUCAGUUAGUAAAUCACAAUAAUUCUUGUGCUCUUCACUUUUAAAUAAAUUAUAAAUGAAGCUUUGAUCUUAGUUUGCAACUCUGGGAAAAUUAGGUCUCACCACUCAUAGGAUUUAUACCUGUAGUGCUCACCACUUGUAAACUAUAGUAAUGAUUCUGAAAUCAUCUAAUUACGACUAAGGUAAUCUGCACUCAGAGUAAUUUACCGUGCUCAUGUACAUUGUAUGCAACUUGUUUUUAUUUUGUUAUUUUUCUUGUUUUUCAUAUUGAAAAGGUGGAAAAUCCUGGGUAAAACUUAAGUUUGCAACCCAACAUAAAUCAAAGUUCCAUUCUUCAGCCUGAAGGCUCCCUCCCACCUCCAUUCUCAGUGACCCUGGGAAUGUAAUCGUUUCAGAGUGAACCUUGAAUCUGGUCUAGACAGCAGGUGACUUAUGAAGUGUAGAAGGGUGAGGUGUCCAGGGAAAGAGGCAAAUCCUGCAGAAACGAGCUUCGCAAUAAUGCAUUUUCUUUGUUGGCAUGCCAGUUCAGGUAGAGCUGUGACCCUUUUUCCGAUUUGAUCAGGAAGCUGUUACUCACAAUUGAAUGCUGUUUAUCCAUUCUGAUAUGCAAGCCUUGUAGCCAUAUCUCGUGAUUAUAAUGCUUCUGUUUUUCGUUUAUUGACCGCGUAAGUCAGGAAGCCUAGGUAGGAAUAAAGCUAAUAUAGUCAAACCAGAAAAGCAGCGAAUAGGAGGGUCUACUACCUUCCUUAAUCUUUGGAGACUAUCUGACUUCUCUGGGUGAGUAAUACUCCCCAUAAAGAAAUAAGUUAGAAAUCAAUGUUAAUGAGAAGUUCUGAGAUUAAUAUUACACUGAGAAAAGGUAAUAAAAAAACAAAACAAAGCAAAACAGAACAAAGAACCACAAAAACUAUCUGCUGGAGCCCUCAGAGAGUGAAUCCCACAGAUACUAUUAAAAAGAAGCUAUGAGUUCAGAAUCCACAGAGUCAUUGCAUAGAGUCAAUAAAAAUAGGGAAGGAUAAGAACACCAUAUUUGUAUUGUAUUGGUCCUGAUACCAUUUUUAUUAGUACUUUUGAACAGUGUAAUCC
rnacentral:lncRNA from 1 species